rnacentral:rRNA from 1 species
GCUCAGGAUGAACGCUGGCGGCGUGCUUAACACAUGCAAGUCGAACGGUGAACACGGAGCUUGCUCUGUGGGAUCAGUGGCGAACGGGUGAGUAACACGUGAGCAACCUGCCCCUGACUCUGGGAUAAGCGCUGGAAACGGCGUCUAAUACUGGAUAUGUGACGUGACCGCAUGGUCUGCGUCUGGAAAGAUUUUUCGGUUGGGGAUGGGCUCGCGGCCUAUCAGCUUGUUGGUGAGGUAAUGGCUCACCAAGGCGUCGACGGGUAGCCGGCCUGAGAGGGUGACCGGCCACACUGGGACUGAGACACGGCCCAGACUCCUACGGGAGGCAGCAGUGGGGAAUAUUGCACAAUGGGCGCAAGCCUGAUGCAGCAACGCCGCGUGAGGGAUGACGGCCUUCGGGUUGUAAACCUCUUUUAGCAGGGAAGAAGCGAAAGU